rnacentral:rRNA from 12 species
AACUGCAGCCACACUGGAGUGCGAAUCACCAAUACCAUCUGUCCUUGGAAGCUAAGUGGGGCUAUGCGUGGUUAGUACUUGGAUGGGAGACCAACUUGAAAGAUGACGGGCUGCUAUCC